UACAGAGGUCUCAAGCGUUGUUCGGGAUUCAUUGGGCGUAAAGGGUGCGUAGGUUGGCGCCCGUAAGUCGGGUGUGAAAUUUCGGAGCUUAACUCCGAAACUGCAUUCGAUACUGCGGUGCUUGAGGAACUGGAGAGGAGACUGGAAUUCAUGGUGUAGCAGUGAAAUGCGUAGAUAUUGGGAGGAACACCAGUGGCGAAGGCGACUUCCUGGCCUGUUCUUGACGCUGAGGCGGCGAAAGCUAGGGUAGCAAACGGG
rnacentral:rRNA from 1 species